CAGUAGCCGCGGUAAUACGAAGGGUGCAAGCGUUAAUCGGAAUUACUGGGCGUAAAGCGUGCGUAGGCGGUUUGUUAAGUCUGCUGUGAAAUCCCCGGGCUCAACCUGGGAAUGGCAGUGGAUACUGGCUCGCUAGAGUGUGUCAGAGGAUGGUGGAAUUCCCGGUGUAGCGGUGAAAUGCGUAGAGAUCGGGAGGAACAUCAGUGGCGAAGGCGGCCAUCUGGGACAACACUGACGCUGAGGCACGAAAGCGUGGGGAGCAAACAGGAUUAGAUACCCGGGUAGUCCCUGUCUCUUAUAC
rnacentral:rRNA from 1 species